CAAACGUACAUCGUGGGAAUACGAGUUGAUCUGGCUUAGUACACAAAAGCUUGCUCUCUUGACUAGCGGCGGACGGGUGAGUAAUGUCUGGGAAACUGCCUGAUGGAGGGGGAUAACUACUGGAAACGGUAGCUAAUACCGCAUAAUGUCGCAAGACCAAAGUGGGGGACCUUCGGGCCUCAUGCCAUCAGAUGUGCCCAGAUGGGAUUAGCUAGUAGGUGGGGUAACGGCUCACCUAGGCGACGAUCCCUAGCUGGUCUGAGAGGAUGACCAGCCACACUGGAACUGAGACACGGUCCAGACUCCUACGGGAGGCAGCAGUGGGGAAUAUUGCACAAUGGGCGCAAGCCUGAUGCAGCCAUGCCGCGUGUGUGAAGAAGGCCUUCGGGUUGUAAAGCACUUUCAGCGGGGAGGAAGGCGUUAAGGUUAAUAACCUUGGCGAUUGACGUUACCCGCAGAAGAAGCACCGGCUAACUCCGUGCCAGCAGCCGCGGUAAUACGGAGGGUGCAAGCGUUAAUCGGAAUUACUGGGCGUAAAGCGCACGCAGGCGGUCUGUCAAGUCGGAUGUGAAAUCCCCGGGCUCAACCUGGGAACUGCAUUCCAAACUGGCAGGCUAAGUCUUGUAGAGGGGGGUAGAAUUCCCGGGGGAGCGCUUACAAUGCGUAGAGUCUGGAAGAAUUCCGGUGGCGCAAGGCCCCCCUGGUAGAAAGACUGAAGCUCAUGGGCGAAGCGGGGAGCUUACAGGAAGAUACCCUUAGUCCACGCUGUUAACAAAUCCAAUUUAUGUUGUGCCCAGGCGUUUCCCCCACUAACGACGUUAGUGACCGCCUGAUACGGUCCCAAGGUUUGAACUCGGAUGAUGUGACGCCCGCACAAGCGGUGACGUGCCUGUUAAUGUAUGUAACGCGGAAACUUACCUGGUGACACCAGAACUUUCC
rnacentral:rRNA from 1 species